AUGCCUUUGGUGUCGCAGAGUCAAACAAUGAUACCAAUGUACCUACUCAAUCGACAUUGUUUACUUACAGUUAAGAGUGGAAGCUCCACAAGUGCAGUAGUAUGUCAACAAUAUGAAAUACAACUUGUAGAUGGAAUACCCGCAUGGGCUGUAUCCAUUAAGACGAUGGCCUCCCCGCAUACAAACAAACAAGCACAAAUUGUUUGCGAAUAUAUAGAAGGUUCAUAUUGUGGGUCAACCUAUCGUCUUUUGCAUCAUCUCAUACAUGCAGAUCCCAAAGUAUUUACUGUUUCAUCUUUGUCUCAUUUGAAUAUUUCCUAUACAAGUUGA
rnacentral:rRNA from 1 species